rnacentral:rRNA from 1 species
CAAUAGCGUAUAUUAAAGUUGUUGCAGUUAAAAAGCUCGUAGUUGGAUUUCUGGUUGAAGCGACCGGUCGGGCGUUGAUUCGUCUGCACUGGAGUCGGUUUUGGCCAUCCUCUAGGAAAGUGCGUCUGGUAUUAAGUUAUCGGGCGUAUGAUCCUGGUCUUUUACUGUGAAAAAAUUAGAGUGUUUAAAGCAGGCCUUCGCCUUGAAUACAUUAGCAUGGAAUAAUAAGAUAGGACUUUGGUCUAUUUUGUUGGUUUGCAGACCGAAGUAAUGAUAAAUAGGGAUAGUUGGGGGUAUUUAUAUUCCGAUGUCAGAGGUGAAAUUCUUAGAUUUUCGGAAGAUAAACUUAUGCGAAAGCAUUUACCAAGGAUGUUUUCAUUAA